rnacentral:tmRNA from 1 species
GGGGACGAUCCGGCUUCGACGGGAGCAUGAAAGUCCUGACUGCGUGCCGAGGUGCCAUAGGCCUCGCUAAAAAAUGGCAACUUGUAAUUGCAAAUAACAAUUACGCUCUAGCUGCUUAAUUAAGUCAGCUUCGUUCACCUGGGAAUCGCCUGUGUUGUUGGGAUGAACGUCAUUUAGCAGGCUAGCUUCGUGCUCCUCAUCAGCGGGCAUGCGGCGAAAUAAAGAUUGAUGGGGAAUGAACUGGGUUUGUCCUUGGAAACAGUUCAUUCAACCUAAACAGGGACUACGCAUGUAGACGUUGGCGAUGGACGGCUUUCGGACGUGGGUUCGACUCCCACCGUCUCCACCA